GUCUUCGUGGUGCAACUGGAAGCACACUCGACUAGUAUUCGAGAAGUCCACGGUUCGAGUCCCGGAGAGGGCA
rnacentral:tRNA from 1 species